rnacentral:rRNA from 1 species
GAUGAACGCUGGCGGCGUGCCUAAUACAUGCAAGUCGAGCGAACAGACGAGAGUGCUUGCACUCUCUGACGUUAGCGGCGGACGGGUGAGUAACACGUGUGUAACCUACCUAUAAGACUGGGAUAACUUCGGGAAACCGGAGCUAAUACCGGAUAAUAUUUAGCUUCGCAUGACGCAAUAGUGAAAGACGGUUCUGCUGUCACUUAUAGAUGGACCCGCGGUGUAUUAGCUAGUUGGUGAGGUAACGGCUCACCAAGGCAACGAUACAUAGCCGACCUGAGAGGGUGAUCGGCCACACUGGGACUGAGACACGGCCCAGACUCCUACGGGAGGCAGCAGUAGGGAAUCUUCCGCAAUGGACGAAAGUCUGACGGAGCAAUGCCGCGUGAGUGAAGAAGGUUUUCGGAUCGUAAAACUCUGUUGUAAGGGAAGAACAAGUACGUUAGUAACUGAACGUACCUUGACGGUACCUUAACAGAAAGCCACGGCUAACUACGUG